AACAUGCUCCCUUAGAUCCAUCUUUGUUGAUGCCUCUUCUGCUAGUUCUGCUUACAGCUUUGGCUUUGAGUAGUUCCAGCUAAGAGGGAUCAGCAACUUUAUGGUUGUACCGUCAAAGAUGCUUGAGUCAUUGGCAUGUGAGAAUAAUAUACCUUCACUCUAGUCUCUUACGUUCUGAUAGAAAUGGCUGUAAUAUGCAUGUCAUUUUCCGCUAUCAGGAUUUGGCUGGAGUGUGGACAUG